rnacentral:lncRNA from 1 species
AGGGGUUGCAUGGGGCCCUACGCUUCCUUCUCCAUUUUUUAGCUAAGAGAUUGAGAGAGUCGGUUUACUUUUGGGCUUGGAGUAUCAUUUAGAUCUGUUAACAGUACAGUUGAGAGAGUUGGUGUCUUUUGUUGAGGUGCGAGGACCCGAGGCGGCGACCCUCGCCUUUAUUCGGAGAAGCCCACUUCCACCCACAGAGUUGGGGUAGUCCUCCGAAAUGCAUUUUUGUUUUGCCGUUUGU